UCUAGACUCGGGAACUCUGAAAGGCAUGUAGCUUACCGAUCAAGCUGAACUCAAGUAAUACUUAUCGAAGAGUCCUACUCGUCUGUCUGACCUGCACGCAUGAAAUGCAGUGCUCCCAAAAAAGGGACGUCAGCACAAAAUAAUGUACUGAGUAUGUAAGGCAAUAUACUAAAAGUUGAAACUGAACUAAUAAUAUAAUAACAACAAAUACCUAGAAGUAAAAUAUAAUCCGAAUAUAUGCUUACCUGCUGAUACUGACUCAAUUC
rnacentral:lncRNA from 1 species